GCAUCUCCGGCACUGGCAGGUGGGUUCUUCAUCACUGAGCCUCCAGGAAAGCCCCACGGGAUGUGUAGUCCACACUGACUUUUUUUUGUUAACUAUUGAAAAAAGAGAAGCAGUGUCCAGAACCACACAGUCUGAGUGCUGUGCACACAGUAAUAAAGCUGUCAGUGUUCACCUUUAGCUUUUUUUAAUUUUAAAUUGUGAAGUGUUUGGAACACUGUGACAAGUGUAUGGAAUAAACAGUACAAUGGUCCUGUA